GAUGAACGCUGGCGGCGUGCCUAACACAUGCAAGUCGAGCGAUUCUCUUCGGAGAAGAGCGGCGGACGGGUGAGUAACGCGUGGGUAACCUGACCUGUACACACCGAUAACAUACCGAGAGGUAUGCUAAUACGACAGAAGAUGCUUCUAUCGCAUGGUAGAAGAAUCAAACCUUUUGCGGUAUAGGAUGGACCCGCGUCUGUUUAGCUGGUUGGUAAGGUAACGGCUUAUCAAGGCGGCAAUCAGUAGCCGACCUCAGAGGGUGAUCGGCGACAUUGGAACUGAGCCGCAGUCCGGACUCCUACGGGAGGCGGCAGUGGGGAAUAUUGCAAAAUGGGGGAAAGGCUGAUGCAGCAACGCCGGGUGAGCGAUGAAGGCCUGCGGGUAGUAAAGUUCUGUACUCAAGGAAGAUAAUGACGGUACUUGAGGAGGAAGCCCCGGCUAACUACGUG
rnacentral:rRNA from 1 species